UGACACUGUGCACCUCCAUGACUGUGCAGGUAGCUGUUGGAAAAGAAGGCUCCCAUCAAGUCUGCCAUGGUGUCCAGAUUUCCUGAGUUCGGGGUCCGACCCGCCACAGGGGUCACCAGCUCCCUGCCCAAUGGAACCACCCAGCCCACCCCCCCAGCAAGACCCAGUGGGGUGGUCGGUACCUCUUCCUUCUCUCUAAAAUGGAGAAAAGACGGUGGUAGUACUCCCACCACCACCACUAGCCCUGAAGAUGGUGCAUGUCCAGAGGAACGAGGGGACAAGUCCCAGACUCAGCACUCCCCAGGGGGGAGGGAGAUCAAGAAACCCACCCCAUCCACCCCUAAUGGGGUCAGGAGGUCUGGUUUGUCUGUGUCCUCUACUUCCAGCUCCAAGGCCAUCCCCUGCCAGGCCACAAAGACAAGCCCCAAGGCAGAGCCCAGACAGGGGCAGAGCCCCUCCCUCAGUGGGGGCCCCAAACCAGGCCAGAAUGGAGCUACUGCUGGCUCAAGAUGGUCAGGCUCAGGGCUGGUGAGGCCGCGGGCCAGCUCCAGCUCCCCUCGCAGCAGCUCUAGAGACAGCCUCUCCCAGUCCAGCGACAGCCUCAAGUCCCUCAUGCAGGAUAGCAUGGUGCGCUCACAACUUUUUUCAAGGAAAUCAUUUUCAUUCAUUUUCAUUAUUGCAGUUGAUAAGCAAUUUUUUUUUCUUCUCAGAUUUGCUGAGGGAGAUGAGGGUGGCUAUGAUCCUGUUCUUUAGCAGGUGCAGAUUCACAAAAUCAGCCUUGGUGCAUUGGAUUGAAAAUGUUACAAUUAACAAACCUUGGUUACUGUGCUAAUCUUGAUAUUUGAAACAGGGGAGUAGAGCUUGAGGAGUAAGGAAUUAAGAGUCCUUGGAGAAUUUAACACUUUUUCAACCUCAAGCAGAUCCCAUUCCCGACCAACAUGCCUUUGGCACGCUCCUUUUCCUUUAAUCGGGCAGUGGAGCUGGCCAAGCCUCUGGCCAACACUCAGCUACAACCACCCAGGACAAACCACAUCAAACCCCCCCAGAUGUUGAACGGGAGGCUGGGCCAUGGGUUGGGCCUCGGCCUGGGCCCAGGGAUUGGGACAGGGCUGGGACUGGGGCUGUGGAAGCUUCAGUGUCCUAGGAACCCCUCUUCAGCCUACUCCCCCUCCAUAACCUCUAGUGCCCUGAAAAAGCCUCUCCUCCCCAACUGUGUUCUUAACAAGCCCUCUGCUUUGGGCUAUAGACUGAUGCGGUCUGGCCAGCCCAAGCAGCAAAAACCCCUGUUUACAGGAAGGUUGACGGGGGAGGUCAGGGCUGGAGGGGUGGGGGGCGGGGAUACGGCAGAGUCGCCCCCCUCACCCUCACCCCAGAUCCCCUCAGUGACAGUAACAGGACCUCAGGGGGGCAGCUCAGGGGGACACGGGAGGGGCUAGAGGACAUGUCUCUUUCCUCAGCCUCAUCGCUCUAUCGAGGAGACACCAACGAGAAGUUCUUGGAUGAUUUUGAUAACCUGACUGAUGGGGACAGGGAUGUCCCUGACAACAAGAAGAGACGUAGUACUGCCACUCAGAUACGCCUGCGUAGCUUCCUGAAUGAGACCAUGGACUGGGCUGGGAUGGGCCUCUCAGGGCAGAAUGAAGAAGUAGGGGUGAGGGCAUCCCUUAGCAUCAAGUCCCCAGAGAGGGUAGACUUCCUCCAGGGCUCAUCUCUGGAGCUGUCCUCCUCCAAUAGCUCGAGAGGCACCUACAAGUGGGAUGAGGAGGGUUUAGAGCCCCUGGGACAGAGCACGCACCCAUGUGAGUGCUACGACUACUCAAACCACCUCAACAACAUAGUGAGUCAACGCUUGGUUUGCCCCAAGGUACCAAAUUCAUACACACAGAAACACCUAUAUUUACCUGGCUGGUUAGAUAGCCUAGACAUAGAGAGAGUCAUGAGAGUCAUUGUUUAGAUGUGGCAAAACUGUUUUUUUUGUUGUCCACAAUUGCCUUGUCUUCCACCUUGCAUACACUUGAUAUAGUAUCACUGACUAGUAAUGAUGUACUGUCAUUUCUGUAUGGUGUACACUACAUAGUUAUUUCAUCUGAUUGUCUAGUGUUGUUAUUCACCAGAGGCCUGAUACAGUGUGUACCUUUGACCCUAUUGUGUCAGUCUUGUCCUCCCAGCAUGCCUACCUGCCCUAGAUCCCGCUGCUAAAUAUUUGGUUAAUUGGAUCCUUAAUAGGGAUUAGGAAAACAAAGACAGAAAGGGAACAGGAAUGCCAAGGCUGCCAACCACCCACUCCCAACCAAGGUCUCCCUCCCUCUGGGUUCCCAGAUUCUGGAAUGUCUACAUAGCUCCUUACAAGUCACAUAUUAUCUCCUGAAGAUAAUCUGACAGUUUUUCCUGUUUUCCUCUCUGUGUUCUGGUGCCAUUGUCUCUGGAAGUUUUAAAACGCUUAAUGACAGGGAUUUAAAUAAGUUAAUCAGCUUUGUAUUUUCUUCCCUUCUUCUGGGGUUUACCAUUACAUGUAGACACGGGACUGUUGCUCUAACAGUGGUUUAAAGACAACUGAGACCAUGUGUAUUGAUAAGAGAGCUGUCUGGGGAUGCCAACUGUUCUGAGUGGGUGUGAGUGACUUUCUGACUAGAAAAUCAUUGUACUGAUACAAUUACAAUAAAACAAUAUUGUGUCUGGUAGACCUAGUGGGAUAGAGUCCAUCUAACAUACUGUGUCAUAAUUGUUUGGCCUAUUAGAAAAGUCAAAGCAUCCUUGAGAUGUGCUGCAUUAAUUUGGAACGUGAUUCAGCGCAUACACAGCAUGUGUGUAGGGCGACACCUUGUGGGCAACUGUGCAAUGCCAUUUGUUUCACUAAUAAAGAAGCAUAGAUAGAAU